GUGCCAGCAGCCGCGGUAAUACCGGUGGCUCGAGUGGUGGCCGCUAUUAUUGGGUCUAAAGGGUCCGUAGCCGGCCUGAUAAGNUACUUGGGAAAUCCGGUGGCCUAACCAUCGGGCGGCCAGGUAAUACUAUCAGGCUCGGGACUAGGAGAGACCAGAGGUACUCAUGAGGUAGGAGUGAGAUCCUGUAAUCUUAUGAGGACCACCAGUGGUGAAGACGUCUGGUUAGAAUAGGUCCGACGGUGAGGGACGAAGGCUGGGGGCGCAAACCGGAUUAGAUACCCGGGUAGUCCCAGCAGUAAACGAUGCCAGCUAUGUGUUGCUGGAACCAUGGGUUCCAGCAGUGCCGAAGGGAAGCCGUGAAGCUGGCCACCUGGGAAGUACGGUCGCAAGGCUGAAACUUAAAGGAAUUGGCGGGGGGGUACCACAACCGGUGGAGCCUGCGGUUUAAUUGGAUACAACGCCGGGAAUCUUACCGGAGGGGACAGCAGUAUGAAGGCCAGGCUAAAGACCUUGCCAGAUCAGCUGAGAGGAGGUGCAUGGCCGUCGCCAGCUCGUACCGUGAGGCAUCCUGUUUAG
rnacentral:rRNA from 1 species